AGCAGUCGCCGCGGUAAUACGAAGGGUGCAAGCGUUAAUCGGAAUUACUGGGCGUAAAGCGUGCGUAGGCGGUUUGUUAAGUCUGCUGUGAAAUCCCCGGGCUCAACCUGGGAAUGGCAGUGGAUACUGGCAAGCUAGAGUGUGUCAGAGGAUGGUGGAAUUCCCGGUGUAGCGGUGAAAUGCGUAGAGAUCGGGAGGAACAUCAGUGGCGAAGGCGGCCAUCUGGGACAACACUGACGCUGAGGCACGAAAGCGUGGGGAGCAAACAGGAUUAGAUACCCCGGUAGUCCCUGUCUCUUAUAA
rnacentral:rRNA from 1 species